rnacentral:piRNA from 1 species
UCUAAUGGUCUUGAGGGAAACCCUUUGUCUC